GUUUGAUGCUGUGCUGCAGAGGGCACAGUUGGAUAUAAAGUGACAUGGAGAGUAACAGGGAUUGAUGUUUUGGAUCCCAAGUACAAGAAUGGGACUGUGUAAAAAAAAAAAAUUGCUUAAAGGCAGCAAGUGGGACCACUGGGUUGAUAGUUUAGGGGGGAUUUUGUCAUGAACCUUGAGUUCUCUUAUCAGGGGUAUAAAAAGAGCUGUGAGUGCAUUAAAGCAUUGGAUGACAUGGAUAUGAAAGUGUUUACUUUAAGGAAGACUUAGGAAUCUCCCAAAAGCUCACUAAAAGGGUUCUUUCCAAAUGUUUUUCUGAUGCAACCCCAGGAAGAGAGAAGGUCAGUGCGUCAUUUUAGUCAUGUUGGAACUGAGUUGGGUUAGUGUUUAUGACCCUGUGACUUUCUCUUUCAAACCUCUGUCUCAUGGAGAUUACCAGCACCCUUCACCCUCAAUCUGAUAAUCUAACAAGAAAAUAGUUCUCCUUCAUUAAGAAAAUUGUUCAAAGAAUCUUUGAUCACAAUUCAGGAUUUUGUACACAGUAUAUUUCUAUGAAAAUGAACAAUCUAGAGUCCGGUUUGUUUGUUCUUUUUGAAUGUUGUCCAUUACUAAAAUUGCUGAGUUAAUUGCAAUGAACCAAAGCCUUUAUAUAUUUGGUCUUUAUUUAAUCUUUAUCAGGGACUUAGGGGCAUGAUAGUCUCUUUUUCAGAGCUCAGACAUCUUAUUUUGGGAACAUAUCCCUUUGCUGUACUCCACAGAGGGUCGUGGUGUGAAGCAAAUAUUUGUUCAUUGUCUGUCUUAAAUAGAAGUUGGUGGAAGCUUAUGGUUAGGUCUUAUUGUUAAGGAGGUGAUUUUAAAUUCUUAUUUUAGGCAAAAGCAUCUGCAAUUUAAGACUGCAGAAGCAGCAGUGAGAAGAUCCUAACAGCUCUACUCAGUUGGACAAUUCUUCAUUACACUGACAGUUUAAUUGGGUGUAAAAAGAAAUGGCAAUUUAAAAUCAAGAGCUUUAAGUGGGAUAACCUACCAGUUUCAGAGUUAGUAUUUAAAAAAAAAAUCAGCAAGAUUCAAAGACAGCACAUCUUUAGUUCUCUGGUUAGGUACUUCCUAUUGAGUAUGUUCUGUGCUAAAACUGCCCUCAGAUUUGCCUUUUAAUGGCAACUUUUGC
rnacentral:lncRNA from 1 species